UACGUAGGGUGCAAGCGUUAAUCGGAAUUACUGGGCGUAAAGCGUGCGCAGGCGGUCCGUUAAGACAGAUGUGAAAUCCCCGGGCUUAACCUGGGAACUGCGUUUCUAACUGGCAGGCUUGAGUGUGGCAGAGGGGGGUGGAAUUCCACGUGUAGCAGUGAAAUGCGUAGAGAUGUGGAGGAACACCGAUGGCGAAGGCAGCCCCCUGGGCUAACACUGACGCUCAUGCACGAAAGCGUGGGGAGCAAACAGG
rnacentral:rRNA from 1 species